AGGACGAACGCUGGCGGCGUGCUUAACACAUGCAAGUCGAGCGGAAAGGCCCUUCGGGGUACUCGAGCGGCGAACGGGUGAGUAACACGUGAGUAACCUGCCCCUAGCUCUGGGAUAGCUCCGGGAAACCGGGAUUAAUACCAGAUACGACCACUUUAGACAUCUGUCGUGGUGGAAAGGAUUCCGGCUAGGGAUGGGCUCGCGGCCUAUCAGCUUGUUGGUGGGGUAACGGCCUACCAAGGCGACGACGGGUAGCCGGCCUGAGAGGGCGACCGGCCACACUGGGACUGAGACACGGCCCAGACUCCUACGGGAGGCAGCAGUGGGAUAUUGCGCAAUGGGCGAAAGCCUGACGCAGCGACGCCGCGUGGGGGAUGAAGGCCUUCGGGUUGUAAACCCCUUUCAGCAGGGACGAAGCGAAAGUGACGGUACCUGCAGAAGAAGCGCCGGCUAACUACGCGCCAGCAGCCGC
rnacentral:rRNA from 1 species